rnacentral:rRNA from 1 species
UACGAAGGGUGCAAGCGUUACUCGGAAUUACUGGGCGUAAAGCGUGCGUAGGUGGUUUUUUAAGUCCGUUGUGAAAGCCCUGGGCUCAACCUGGGAAUGGCAGUGGAUACUGGAAAGCUAGAGUGCGGUAGAGGGUAGUGGAAAUUCCCCGGGUGUAGCAGUGAAAAUGCGUAGAGAUCCGGAAGAACACCGGUGGCGAAGGCGGUAGCUGGGGCAGUUGCUGACACUGAGGCGCGACAGCGUGGGGGAGCAAACAGGG